AGUGAACGCUGGCGAUAGGCCUAACACAUGCAAGUCGAACGGCAGCACAGUAAGAGCUUGCUCUUACGGGUGGCGAGUGGCGGACGGGUGAGGAAUACAUCGGAAUCUACUUUUUCGUGGGGGAUAACGUAGGGAAACUUACGCUAAUACCGCAUACGACCUACGGGGGAAAGCAGGGGAUCUUCGGACCUUGCGCGAUUGAAUGAGCCGAUGUCGGAUUAGCUAGUUGGCGGGGUAAAGGCCCACCAAGGCGACGAUCCGUAGCUGGUCUGAGAGGAUGAUCAGCCACACUGGAACUGAGACACGGUCCAGACUCCUACGGGAGGCAGCAGUGGGGAAUAUUGGACAAUGGGCGCAAGCCUGAUCCAGCCAUACCGCGUGGGUGAAGAAGGCCUUCGGGUUGUAAAGCCCUUUUGUUGGGAAAGAAAAGCAGCAGGUUAAUACCCCGCUGUUCUGACGGUACCCAAAGAAUAAGCACCGGCUAACUUCGUG
rnacentral:rRNA from 1 species